AAAUUCUGACAUUAACAGUGCUUAUUGAUAACUGGUACGCUAUUUCUAGGCUUAAAAUAUAGGGUAGUUGCGAAUGGAUGUUCAUAAUGAACAAAAGUUAAUUAUUUUAAUAAUAAAAAAUUAUAUUAGUACAUGUACAUGUAUGUCAUGUAUGUACUCAUAUUAUGCAAAUAUUUAAAGUUAUAGCCUUGAAGCAGAGAUUCACUAUACAUAUGUAUGUCUGGCAUGCAGAAUGUUGAAAGCAAGUUAAGAAUUUUACUUUAUACAUGUAUAAGCAGUCGUGCG
rnacentral:lncRNA from 1 species